rnacentral:rRNA from 1 species
ACUCCUACGGGAGGCUGCAGUCGAGAAUCUUUCGCAUGCCCGAAAGGGUGACGAAGCGACGCCGCGCUGCGGGGAAGAAGGCCUUCGGGUUGUAAACCGCUGUCGGGAGUUAAGAAGUGCAGCGGAUGUUAAUAGCUAUCCCUGCUUGACUAAGGCUCCGGAGGAAGCCACGGCUAACUCUGUGCCAGCAGCCGCGGUAAUACA